GAUGAACGCUGGCGGCGUGCCUAAUACAUGCAAGUCGAGCGAACAGACGAGGAGCUUGCUCCUCUGACGUUAGCGGCGGACGGGUGAGUAACACGUGGAUAACCUACCUAUAAGACUGGGAUAACUUCGGGAAACCGGAGCUAAUACCGGAUAAUAUAUUGAACCGCAUGGUUCAAUAGUGAAAGACGGUUUUGCUGUCACUUAUAGAUGGAUCCGCGCCGCAUUAGCUAGUUGGUAAGGUAACGGCUUACCAAGGCAACGAUGCGUAGCCGACCUGAGAGGGUGAUCGGCCACACUGGAACUGAGACACGGUCCAGACUCCUACGGGAGGCAGCAGUAGGGAAUCUUGCACAAUGGGCGAAAGCCUGACGGAGCCACGCCGCGUGAGUGAUGAAGGUCUUCGGAUCGUAAAGCUCUGUUAUUAGGGAAGAACAAAUGUGUAAGUAACUAUGCACGUCUUGACGGUACCUAAUCAGAAAGCCACGGCUAACUACGUG
rnacentral:rRNA from 1 species